AGGCACUGCCUUGGAAACUCUGUGUCUGACCUGUAGCCUCAGGGUCUAGGAACAGUGCCAGAGCAGUCCCAGCUUGUUUACAUCCAGGGCUGCUUGGUGCUCCCUUAGUGAUUCCUUUAGUAGCAAGCAACAUUC
ensembl:snoRNA